rnacentral:pre_miRNA from 1 species
GAUUUCAACUGAAAAAAUCAUCAAUAACAAAGUUGUAUAAAUCAUCAAGAUCUAUAACUUUUAUAUUGGUCAUUUUUUCAUCCGACAAAGUGAUUUGUAAGAUUGUUCACAAAAUGUACAUAUCUCUUGUAUAGUUUAUAAAACUAUAAGAGAGAUAUACAUUUUGUAAACAAUCUUACAAAUAUCUUUGUCGGAUGAAGAAAUGACCAAAAUAGAAGUUAUAUAUCUUGAUGAGUUAUACAACUUUGUUGUUGAUGACUUUUUCAGUUGAAAUC